rnacentral:tRNA from 1 species
CGCUAAGAAGCUAAACAGGUCAAUAGCGUUAGCCUUUUAAGCUAAAGAUUGGUGGCUGCCGACCACCCCUAGCGA